AUGGCCCAUUCAGUCUCAAAAAAAUAAUUGUUGUUUGGUUGGGCCAAAGGAAUGGAAUGGACCAUUCUUUGUGUCAUUCCUUUCAGAAGCUUUGUUUUACGAUCUAUUCUCUCUGAAAAAGGUGGGAUAAGCCCAUUCCAUUCUGUCUGACUCAAACACAAGACAAAAAACACGUCCUCACUAAAUUCACACUCUCGCAAUCUCGCUGUUUCAUUUCUCCUGCUCAACUGAUCUCAAGCUUCGAUCCAUGCAUAUCAAUGAUUCCUUUUACCAUUUGCAACUAUUUUCAACCUCAAUCGAUAUAAGCAUACAGAGAAACCUGAGCCUGUUGAGGAAAAGGCUGCUGAAGGUGGUUCUGUUAAUAGAGGUACCUUUAUUUCGAUGGAAAAAACACAUCCCUUGCUGCUAUUAGUAUUGUCAUUGUGAGAGCAAUCACCAUUCAAGUCACUAUCUUCUAUCAUAUCCAGAUAGAGAGAUAACUAGACCUGCUCCAAGAUCCACCACUGGAAGAUGAUGUCUGUUUAACUCUACAUUAUGGAAUAAUGCCUGCACGUGUUGCGGUUCUCCGGUGUUCUCAUAUUCACUUCCCAAAUUUUGUAUUUUAUUUGUAAAUUAUGAUGGAGAAUUGAUAGUGGCCAAAGUUUGGAUUUUAUUUGUAAAUUUGUAAUAUUUAUUAUAGUUGAUUUUAUACUAAUAAUUUGUGUAAUGAAAUGGGAAGUAUGCUAUUGAUAUGAAAUUAAUUAAUUUGUGUAUGUAAUAUAUAAAUUCUGAAAGUUAAAGUUUUACAUGGAAAUAUUUGCUAAAAAAAAAAUUUAAUUACCAUUCCAUUCCUUUGAGUAACCAAACAACUCAAAUGAAUGGAAUUGUUCAUUCCAUUCCAACCAUAAAAAAAUGAACCAAACAAGAACCUUGAAUCGAUCAUUCCAUUCAAACUUGUUUCCAUUCUCCCACCAUUCCAUUCUCAAUUUCAUUCCAUUCCUAGCAAAUUUCAUUCAUCCCAACCAAACGGAGUGUAAGGGUUCUAACACUCUGUUUGGUUGGCAUGAAUGGAAUCAGUUUAGCCCAGAAUGGAAUGGUCCAUUCCAUUCCAAAAAUAAAAAUUUCUGUUUGGUUCGCCCAAAGAAUGGAAUCAGUUUAGCCCAGAAUGGAAUGUGCCAUUCCAUUCCAAAAAUAAAAUUUUCUGUUUGGUUCGCCCAAAGAAAACCGAUUCUUUUAUUCAUUCCAAUCAUUUCUUAAAGCGCGGGUUAAGCCCAUUCCAUUCACGCAGCUCUCCACCUCUCUCACGCAGCUCUCCCUCGCCUCUCUCUCCGCCUCUCGCCUCUCUCUCUCGCCUCUCUUUCUCGCAUCUCUCUCUUCCUCACAUCUCUCUCUUCCUUUUCUGCCUCUCCCCCUCUCUACACUCAGCUAAUCCUUAAUCUGGAAAGCAGCUAGAAUCUUCAAACCACGCAUCUCAACGAUUCCUUUUAUCAUUUGCAAUGAUUUUCAAACCUAAAUCAAUCUAAGCAUACAGAGCAAGUGCUAGAACAGAGCAAAAUGAAGACAAGAAUGAACCAAAUUUGAGGCCUAAGAGAGGGAGAGAGGUGAGAUGUAGAAUUUUGUUAGCUGUGAAAGAAAGUGACAGAGAAGAGAGACAGGGAAGUAGAGUGUAUCCGUCUAUGCGGUUGGUCAAAUAAAUUGGAGUUGUGUUAAAGAAUAUAAGCACCAUUACAGCUUGGCCUUGGCUGCUUAGCUGUUCCAUUUUAACAGCAGAGCUGCUUAGCUAGAGCCUAGAAGCUGGUUCAUCAAAGUGUAAAGCUCUUUCAAGUACCUUUAUUUCGAUGGAAAAAACACAUCCCUUGCUGCUAUUAGUAUUGUCAUUGUGAGAGCAAUCACCAUUCAAGUCACUAUCUUCUAUCAUAUCCAGAUAGAGAGAUAACUAGACCUGCUCCAAGAUCCACCACUGGAAGAUGAUGUCUGUUUAACUCUACAUUAUGGAAUAAUGCCUGCACGUGUUGCGGUUCUCCAGUGUUCUCAUAUUCACUUCCCAAAUUUUGUAUAUUAUUUGUAAGUUAUGAAGGAGAAUUGAUAGUGGCCAAAGUUUGGAUUUUAUUUGUAAAUUUGUAAUAUUUAUUAUAGUUGAUUUUAUGCUAAUAAUUUGUGUAAUGAAAUGGGAAGUAUGCUAUUGAUAUGAAAUUAAUUAAUUUGUGUA